rnacentral:lncRNA from 1 species
CAUAUUUUAUGAUUCUAUUUACCUGAAACGUCCAUGCAGGCAAAUCCACAGAAUGAGAAAGUGGGUUAGUGUUUGCCAAGGGCGGGAGAGGGGAAAACAGGAAGUGACUGCUCAUGGAUGUGGGCUUUCUUCUUUGGGGUGAUGAAACAUUCUGGGAUUAGUGGUGACGGUUGCAAAACCUUGUGACAUAUUAAAAACUUAAUUGGAUACUUUAAAAGGGUGAAUUUUAUGGUACGCUAAUUACAUCUCAAAAAAAAUUGUGAGGUGGAACUAUAAAAAGAAGCUAAAUGUACACAUCAUAACAUACGUACCAUCAAAGAGAGACGACAGGAAACCAAUUACAUUAACUUGAAAAUCACUGCUGGACAUUGGCAUUUACAUUCAUAAUAACAAAUAUGAAAAGUACUGAAUUUUACUGCCAUAAACUGAAUACCAACAUAAAGAAAAUCGAGAGGAAAAAUUAAUUUGAUUUCCAUGAAAAAUGUCCAAGGAUAAAUAUUUGCUUUCUUCCCAGUAUCUUAGCUGGUUGGAGGCUGAGCUCCCCAGAGCAGAUAUAAGAGCCUUUACGUUAGAUCUGCCAACAGCAGACAGACUUGAAAGAAUUCCAGUGUUAGAACCUGAGCCUCCGACGCAGCCUUUGGGAAAUGGUAAUGGAUUCUCUCCCAGCAAGCACGUCACCGCGGAUGAGCAUUCCACUGUGAUAACGACAAAGUAACAGGGUAGAACUUUCAAUUACCAGCAUCUCAACCUUAGAGACUGGAUGAACAUUUUCUAUAAGGCUUUUCUUGGAUUCCUUGAAUGAAUACGUGUGACUCUAAAUGAACAGUUUUUCCAAAUAAACACAGCUCACGUUAAGAAUACUGAAUCACGGGGCUGGCCCCGUGGCCGAGUGGUUAAGUUCGCGCGCUCUGCUGCAGGCGGCCCAGUGUUUCGUUGGUUCGAAUCCUGGGCGCGGACAUGGCACUGCUCAUCAAACCACGCUGAGGCAGCGCCCCACAUGCCACAACUAGAAGAACCCACAACGAAGAAUACACAACUAUGUACCGGGGG